ensembl:snRNA U6 U6 spliceosomal RNA
GUGCUUGCUUCAACAGCACACAUACUAAAAUUGGAACGAUACAGAGAAGAUCAGCAUGGACCCUGUGCAAGAAAGCGUUCCAUAUUUAAAAAAAAAAGACUAGACAAAUUUUG